rnacentral:lncRNA from 1 species
GUUCUGCCCUGCAAGGUGGCUGCUUCCUUCCCGUCUCUCCUCACCCUGGCUUUUCUCUGUUUUCUCCUCUAGUGCAAUUCUCCAGCUUGGUAGAGCUCACUUCCUGGGUGCCUUGGCCUGUCAUCUGGACCAAGCCACUGCCUGGCUUUCCCCUCUGUGUACUCUGACGCAAGACCCCACACCUCGGCCAGGAGCCCAUCCUUCCUGUUACUAUGGACCCUCAGAGCCAGAAGCUAGAAGCAGGAAGCAGGAAACCACACAGCUAUCGGUGCUUCUUCAGGAGUCCUUCCUCCGGGCCCUGGUCUGUGAGACUAUGCAAUCCUGACCUUGGGGUUUGCUGUAGUUUGGAUCUGGACCGUCUCCCAAAGGUACGCGGAGUAAAGGCUUGGUUCCCAGUGAGGUCUCUGGACACGGGAAACCUUUAAGGAUGGACCACUGGGAUGUGCUGAGGGCACUGAGGGUGUGUCCUUGAGGCAGAUACUGGGGCCGCUGACUUUCUUCUUCCUUUCUUUCACUUCCUGGCUAUGGUCGAGCAGUUCUACUUCCACUCAUUUCUGCCAUCUGUGCUGCUUUGCCACAGGCCCCAAACAGAGCUGAUUGAUCAUGGACUGAAACCUCCAACACUGUGAGCCAGAAAGAAACCUUAAAUAAGUUGGUUUAUCUCAGGUAUCUGUUAGAGUGAUGGAAAAGUCACCGACAUAGGGUAAAACCAUACAGAAUACUUGAGGAGAUUAUUGAUUGGGAUGUUGAUUUCAGCUACUAGGAAGAUAACAAUGUGAGAAAAAAAUAUUGGAGAGACAUUGGAGAAAUAAUAAUGUUAAUAAUGAUUAUUUGAAUGCACUAUUGGAGAAACCUGUGACACACAUUAAAAAAGUGUCCAAAAUUUUCUUCGAUUACAGAAAUUAAUCCUGGCUUAGAUGUGUCCCAUUUUCCUGGUGUAUGACUCUGAUAGUAUGGUAUAAAAAUAACAAGACAGAAUUACACUGUAACAAACAUGAGUUUGGACACCUCACUGAGACAUAUCAUAUCAAAUACCAUAUUUGUGCAACUUCCUAUUCAUGGCUAGUUUUUCAUGGAAACAUUGAGUACAAAUUAAAGUGUCUUGAGUCACAUAGAAUUUUAAAUAUCCUUUAAAAUCUGUGUCUAUUGCACACAUUCUCAAAGGAGAGACAUUGCACAUGGGGUGAAAAUUUGAGGGGAUGCAUGUGUGCAAAACAUAAUAUUCUUUUUUAAAAUUUUUACAAAAAUUUAUGUAUGACAGCAGAAUGCAUUACAAUUUUUAUUACACAUAUAGAGUACAAUUUUUUAUAUCUCUGGUUGUAUACAAAGUAUAUUCACACCAAUUUGUGUCUUCAUACAUGUGCUUUGGAUAAUAAUGUCCAUCACAUUCCACUAUCAUUUCUAACCCCAUGCCCCUUCCCUUUCCCUCCAAUCCCUCUGCCGUAUGUAGAGUUCGUCUAUUCCUCCCAUGCUCCCUCUCCCUAUAACACUAUGAAUCAACCUCCUAUAUCAUAGAAAACAUUUGGCAUUUUUUGGGGGGAUUGGCUAACUUCACUUGGCAUUAUCUUCUCCAGCUCCAUCCAUUUACCUCCAAAUGCCAUGAUUUUAUUCUCUUUUAUUGCUGAGUAAUUCCAUUGUGUAUAUAUGCCACAUUUUUUUGUCCAUUCAUCUGCUGAAGGGCAUAUAGGUUGGUUCCACAGUUCAGCUAUUGUGAAUUGUGCUGCUAUAAACAUUGAUGUGGCUGUGUCCCUGUAGUAUGCUGUUUUUAAGUCUUUUGGAUAUAGACUGAGGAGAGAGAUAGCUGGGUCAAAUGUUGGUUCCAUUUCCAAUUUUCCAAGAAAUCUCCAUACUGUUUUCCAUAUUGGCUGCACCAAUUUGCAGUCCCACUAGCAGUGUAGGAGUGUAUCUUUCCCCCCACAUCCUCGUCAACACUUAUUGUUGUUUGUAUGCAUAAUAGUUGCCAUUCUGAUUGGAGUGAGAUAAAAUCUUAGAGUGGUUUUGAUUUGCAAUUCUCUAAUUGCUAGUGAUAAUGAACAUUUUUUUCAUAUAUUUGUUAAUUGACUGUAUAUCAUCUUCUGAGAAGUGUCUGUUCAGGUCCUUUUAUUGAUUGGGUUAUUUGUUUUUUUGGUGCUUAGCUUUUGAGUUCUUUAUAUACCCUAGAGAUUAGUGCUCUAUGUGAUGGGUGAGGGGUAAAGAUUUGUUCCCAAGAUGUAGGCUCUCUAUUCACAUCACAGAUUGUUUCUUUUGCUGAGAAGAAACUUUUUAGUUUGAGACCAUCCAAUUUAUUGAUUCUUGAUUUUAGUUCUUGUGCCACAGGACUCUUAUUAAGGAAGUUGGGGCCUAAUCUCACAUGAUGAAGAUUUGGGUCUAGUUUUUUUUUUUUUUCUAUUAGAUGCAGGGUCUCUGGUUUUAUUCCUAAGUCCUUGAUCCAUUUUGAGUUGAGUUCUGUACCAUUGGUUUACCACUCUGUUUUGGUGCCAAUACCAAGCUGUUUUUGUUACUAUGCUCUUUAGUUUAGUUUAAGAUCUGGUAUAGUGAUGCCACCUGCUUCACUCUUUCUGCUAAGGAUUGCUUUAGCUAUUCUGGGGAUCCACAUAGAAGAAGAACUCAAAUUUUCAUUAUUUGCUGAUGAUAUGAUUCUAUACCUAGAAGACCCUAAAAGUUCCACCAGAAAAGUUCUAAAACUAGUAAAUGAAUUCAGAAAGUAGCAAGAUAUAAAAUAAACACCCAUAAAUCAAAGGCAUUUCUGUAUAUCAGUGACAAAUCCUCAGGAAGGGAAACAAGGAAAGCUACCCCAUUUACAAUAGCCUCAAUAAAAUUAAAUACUUGGGAAUCAACUUAAUGCAAGAGGUGAAAGAUCUAUAUAAUGAAAAUUACAGAGCCCUAGAGAAAGAAAUCAAAGAAGACCUUAGAAGAUGGAAAGAUCUCCUUGUUCUUGGAUAGGCAGAAUUAAUAUUAUCAAAAUGACCCUUCUUCCAAAAGCACUAUACAGAUUUAAUGCAAUUCUGAUCAAAAUUCCAAUGACAUUCCUCAUAGAAAUAGAAAAAGCAAUCAUGAAAUUCAUCUGGAAAAAUAAGAGAGUCAAAAUAGGGGCAGUAUUCUUUUUUUUUCUGCAGUUUUGGUACUGGAGAUUUUAUCCAGGGGCACUUUACCACCAAGCUACAUCCUUUUAUUUUUAUUUUGAGACAGGGUCUCACCAAGUUGCUUAGGGCCUUGCUGAGUUGUUGAGGCUGGCCUCGUACUUGCAAUCCUAUUGUUCCAACUUCCCGAGUCACUGGGAGUACAGGUGCGUGCCACCCAGGUCUAGCAUAGAACUCUUUCAUGCAUCUCUUCAUGUAUAAAGCAGAGAUAUAGAAAUAAUGCAUAAAUCGAUAUCCCAUAUGUCUUUAACAUUAAAAUUUCAUUGACCAGGACCAAAUUGCCUAGAGAGGCUUGUUGCAGGGUCUGAGGGACAAUGAAACAUAUUGAGAAAUUCUGCUUUGGAUACUUUUGUAGUGCUCUUCUCUUUUGAAGUGUCACCUAGUCAUUAAUUUUCAAACAGGAACCCUGGGUUUGCCUAAAAUAAGACAGAUCUACAGAAAGUUUGCAGGACCACGGAGUGAUGUUCAUCCCCCUCAGCCAUGGUACAGAGGCUCCUGGGGGAGUCUCCCACUUGGGAAAAUCUGUGCCAAGCUAUUAUUAGAUAAGAAAGCUACUUGCUGUCCACAGCUCAUGGGAGCAGUCUCUAUUAUUUUAUGAUCAUAUCUCUUUAGUGGUAAUUUAGUGGUAAUUACAAUACUGUAUGUCACCAGAAUCAUGGUUCCAUUGAUUGUAAGAUGCACCAUCAAAAUUUGACACAAUACUAGGAUAUCAAAGAUGGCCAUAUGUACAAACAAUACAGCAGAAAAAGAUAAGUAUCUUAGGAUUAAUGAAAUACAGAAAUGGCUCAAACCGCUGACUUCACUAGGUACCUGGUUAUUUCAUCAAACACUGGCCACAGUGACGCCUGUUAGGUGUGGGGAUUCCUAUCAUCAACUCUAGCCUACACACGAGGGCCACUGGGAUACAGAGAGUUUAAGAAAUUCGCCCUCCAUGGUAGAAGAAGGAAGCAGUAGGAGGGCCCCGGGAACCUCAUCUCCCUGUGCAUUCUGGGGCACAGGCUGCACCUUCCGGUACCUGCUCUCCUUCCCUUUGCACUAUCUCCACUGCUACCUGAACAAGCAGAUUCAUCUCAUUUCUUUCAAUGCAUGGGUUUCUAGAAGGUGCACAAAGUGGAAUGCUGGUAUUUUUCAAAUUCAAAAGGGGGACGUUCUUUGUCUGUUAUGGAAGGAGUGCUUUGGACAGCACGGCAUUGGUUCAUGCUCCUGAUGUGGAGAGAGAAUUCAACUUAGAGCUGGGACAACCUGCGCUUGGUCCUGACCGCUCUGCCCUCCAGCUCUGGGAGGAGUCAAACUCACCUUCCCCAGUCUUGGUUUCCUCACUCGCGAGCCCCUUGGGGUUGGGCUGGGGUGGAGUAACCAGUCCUUUGCUGUCCCUUUGCAGUGUCUGCAUGUGUCUAUGACUGAGCCUGGGGGUGUGGCACCCACCUAGAGUGGCCUCACCCAGAGCCUGCAUUCUUUUUUUCUAAGAAGCUGGAGUUCAACAUCGAUCCGAGGUUGGAAGGAAGAUGAUGCUUCCCGAACCCAGGCUCUGAUGGUCCCACAGCUUCAGGAUGGCCCCAAUCCAUGAACUCUGGCUUCUCAGGGGCACUGGCAUUCUUGCCUGAGGGCCAGCGCAGGGGGGUGCUCUAGUUCCAGCCUCUUCCUGCCUUUGUGGAUUGCCUUUCUGUAAAGGAACUUGGCUAUCCAGAGUGUACUUAGUUCCUUCAGCUGAGCACUUCCUUAAUGGUGCAGAGAUCACCAAUUGUGUAUUUUAUAUUAGAAUGGAGGAUUUUGCCUCCCUCAAGAAUAUUAUAAUCUUAACAUAUUGUUGGAGGCUCCGUUGCUUUUGCAUAAACACAGACUGUGUUUUCCCUUCCCUAUGGUGGGCAGUUUUUCAAAUGGACUGUAACUGGAGCUUCUCCGUUUGCAUUGGGAGUCCUCUCAGGUUCACAUCCAGAAAACCUAAUAAAAAUGUGAGCCGCAAACAACUGGGUGGACGGAAUGAAAAGAAGUUGUUUGGUGAGAGUUUUGCAGCACAGUUUAUGAGACUGCCCCGGGCAGAAGGCCUUACGAUUGCUCAGACGGCAGUUUGCUUCUGCUCCCCUGACCAGCCAUUCCCGAGGGUUCAAUGACCAUUAAUCCCUCGUGCAAAAGUGUCCUAUGUGCGAGUCAGAACAUCCUUCCAUGUUGGCCUCACGGAGGUUAGGGUGCAUUUCUAUAAGAUCCCCUUUUAUCUGAACUUGGUGUGAUAUGAAACUAUUUAAAGUUACAAUAAACAGAACCCAAACAAAGCAAGCCAAAGAGUGGAUGUCUCCCUGAGUGCACACUGUAAAUCUGUCAUUUUGCCAACAUCUGGACAGAAAAAAAUUCCACAUUUGUUAACUAAAAUAUGUGCGAGAAGUCAGGGGGAAUUUUUCCUUCCUAUGAUUUUCCAUUGUUCUAGUUUAUUGGAUGAAUAUUUUCAAUUGAAUAAAUGGGUCUGGGCUGGGGGAUGAGACAUGUGUCGUCUCCGUUCCUGUUGGCGUUGGGCAUCCCUGUGUCUUGACUGAUUCACACGGCUUGGGAGGCCUGGUCCCGGAGCUGUUUAUGAGAGCUGCCCGUCAGUGUCUCUUCCUACCUCACUUGCAGUGGCCUCACGCUGGUCGCUAGAAAUUGGCCGUGAAGGAGCAUUUGCAUAUAGAAAUUGGCAGAUCCUGCGACUCAAGUUUCCUCUCCCCACUCCCAGCGCUGAGUGCGGAAUGUUUGCAGCUCCCUAGUGCUGGUGCCUGUCAGUUCUCAGCACCUCAAAUUCUAGGCGACAGGUGACAACUGUUGGACACGGUCACUGUCCGGAAAGCUGAUCUGGGGCUUCACAGACCGAUGCGGAUGAUUGCCCAAAGCUGGCCGUGGCUACUGCCACAGCCCGUGCCACCACUCAGCUGAGAUCGUAGCUGUUCCCAUGUGUGAGUGUGCCUGUGUGUUUUUGUAUGUAGGAGCUUGUGUGUGCCCAUGCUUGAGUGUGCAGUCAUGCAACGACCUGUGCAUCUUUACAUGUACAUGUGUCUCUAAGCAUGUAUAUAUGUGUAUACAUGUCUAUACAUGCAUGUCUCUGUGCAUCUAUCUGUAGGUCUCUGUGCAUUCACAUAUGUUCCUUUGCACAUAUUUGUGCUCCUGCGUACCUGUGGGUAUGCACAUUUGCCUGUGUGUAUCUGUGUGCAGGCACAUAUAUGCAUGGCUAUGCGUAUGUGCACGUGUGUACACCUACAUGUGCAUGGGUGUACACCUGUGCAUGCAUGCAGGUAUGCCCUGCCUGUGGGUAUAGAUGUGUCUGUGAGUGCUGUGUGUGCCCAUGUGUGUGCAUGUAUGUGUGGCCAGAGCCCAACAUGCAGUGAGAGAUGAGGAAUGAUGUUCUCUAGGAUAUGCAGAUCUGGGGUAACUCCCCAGAUCUCUUCCCUUGUCUAUUAUUCCUUCUUUACCACUCAAAUUAAUAUGUAGGAACCUUCAAUAAGGAAAACAUGUCCAGUUGGGUGGCUGGUGGGAGUAAGGAAGGAUGAGACGAAUAUGGACGGUUUGCCUGGAAAUGCCGGAGAGUCUGAGGACUGGCUGUGGUGUCAGAUCCUCUGAGCUUCUGUAGGAUCUUUCACGGGGCCUCUACCUUCUGACCAGUGAAAAUGUAGUCUGACCUCAAGAUCAGUUUGUCUGGCUUGUAGUUUUUGUCUAGCCUCUGCAGCCAUUGCUCGACUCUUAGGGGUGGAGGCCUGAAUCACCAAGCAAAGUUAAAAUGUGGGCUGGAGCCCUGGCUUCCUCUUUGUGCCCUGAGGCUGGCCUCGGCUGGACCUGACACGUGCUCACAGUUUGCCUGCCCUGCUCACUGCUGCACAGGCUUUAUACACAAUGGCCCCUGUAAACCUCACAGGGACCUACCAAGCCAGGCCUCUUGGGAGUCUGAGGUCCCAAGAAGAAAACUAACUUGCCCCAAAUCUCAUGGCCAGCAAGUGGCAGAGACAGAGUGGGAGGCCUCAGUUCCAGGCUCACAGCUAAAUUCUAUUCAAGGACACAAGGGACUUUCCAGUUUACUUGGGAGUUUUUGUCCUCUUCAGCGUGGAUCUCUCUUCAACCAUCAAUGAAUCCAAUUGGGCAGGCAGGAAUCCUACCUCCCAGGAAAAGGCCAGGGUUGGCAUGGAAUGCAUUACAUGUGGGGCCUGCUCGCUCUGGGGCCUUUGACACCAGCCCCAGCUCCUGCCUGAACUUGUGGCACCCAGGAGCCGGUCCCUGGUGCAGACUCAACAGGUUAGCGGUGGAGGACAGUGUCCUUCUGCUGACCCAGGCCCUUGCUCCACUCUAGGGGAAGUAAAGCCACGAGGGUGAGAGGUGUGCCCAGGGUAGGGUGCUGGACUUCAGCUAAGCUGGGCCAGCUCAGGCCUGUCCUGUUCUCCUCCUGCCACCUGAGGGUGCAGACUGUGCUGUGCUGCUGGGUGGAGGUGGGUGCAUGGGGGCCCUUCACAGGGGACAGGAGGUAAUGGCCAUGACCACCGGGAAACACUGCACCAAGAAUCGAGGAACAGGUCAGAAAAGAUCUAAAAAUAUCCUGCGGGCACAUUAGGGCUGCAGAUACCAUGUAGGUGUGAAGGGAUGAGGAGAAGGAAGGCAGGUAACCGCUGGGCCGGGCUCUUUGCACCACCAAGACCUUGACCUCACAGAACAUCAUGGAACUGGAGGAAGAUUGUUUCUUAACCUCUGAGGUGAUGCUGUGUGCAAAGCGGGUGCUCAAAGUGUAUGCUAGUGGCUGAAUAAAUCAGCAGAGUCACGACACCAGCAGUGCCGAGGCCUCGCCUUUUGGGCUGUCUUGGUUGGCUUCUUUGUCCAGAGUGUGCAUCUUGAUCAGACAAGCCCGGAACGUUCUUCCACUGAGCCGCUUGCUGGUUCUAGUGAGACUGUCAUCUCAGUGCAUGUCAGUGAAAGGGAAUGUGCUUGAAUGCUACAAGUUUAUGAAUUUCAUAGAGUUUGACUUUUAACAGGUGCCUAGGGCUAACUCCACACCUUCCUCCCGGUGAAAGGAGAAGUUCUGAUUUAAUCAUAGAGAAAACCACUCUUCACAGUCAACAAAGGCACUCACAUGAUUAGAUUGACUGAGGGAUGUCCAUUUCUUUCCCACUUAUUUACUGUUGCUAAGGUAUUCGAUCAAGUCUGAUCUUUAGCAUUCCAUCAAAGACCAUUAAAUAUUUUUAAUUAGAUACUUAAAAAUAAAUUUGAAUACUCUAUUUCAAAUUGUGUGUGUUUUGCUGACAGUUGCUUUCAGUUUUGAAUAGGAACAUGUCAAACCUUUAAAUAUCCUAUAGCUCAGAGGCACCUGGCUGGAAAUGAUGAUGUUCCUUUUCUGCACCACAAAGUUUAGGGGAUUUAAAAAAAAAUUCUGUAGAAGAGAUGUUCUUACAAAACACAUGCCAGAUGCACCUGAAAUCUCCUUUAUUUUUUUUCUUUUUUUGUCAGUGUACUAAAAAAUAUAUUGAGCUGGGUGUGGUGGGGCAUGCCUGUAACCUCAGCAGCUUGGGAGGCUGAGGCAGGAGGACUGCAAGUUCAAAGCCAGCCUCAGCACUGGCGAGGUGCUAAGCAACUCAGUGAGACCCUGUCUCUAAAUAAAAUACAAAAGAGGCCUGAGGACAUGGCUUGAGUGCCCCUGAGUUCAGUCUCUGAUACUCCCCUCCCCCAAAAUAUGUUGAAUAGAACUCAACAACAAAUCCCAGCAUAUUCCAUACUUUUAGGGACGGUGGAGACAGAACAUUACACUGUGUGCAGGGCCCUCUUCACAUGGAGGGAGCGGUGGUUAGUGGGGGUUGUCAGUUUAGCUGGAUUAAGGGAUGCCCAGGAUUCAGAGACUUGUGGGUGUGUUGAUAAGGAGGUUUCCAGAGGCGACUGGCACAUGGGACAGCAAACUGAGUGGGACACCCACCCUGAAUGUGGGUGACACCAUCCAAUGAGCUGGGGACCCUGAUGGGAAGAAGGUGGCAGAAGGAGGAGCCCACACAGACACAAGCUCCGUUCUCCCUGAGCCGGCGCUUGGGUUGCUUCUGCAAUCCACCAGAGGACGUGGGACUCCGGCUCCUUGAUUCUUCCAAAGCAGACUGACCAGCGAGUCUUCAGGGAGUUUCUGGACUUCAGACUGGGGCUCCAUCAUCGAUCUCCUUCCUUCUAGGACUGGGCAGCUACUGGUCCCUCUGUCUCUCCAGCCUGUUGUGGAGUAUCUGUCUUGGGGUUUUGAAAGUCACUCUAAUGAAUCCCUUUUUCAUAAACACACACACAUAUGAUUAUAUCACACAUAUGUAUACAUACAUAAACAUACAUAUAAUAUAUAUAAUAUGUGUACAUAUAUAACCUGUUGGUUCUGUUCCAAAGCAUUGUCCAGGAGGUGCUAAUAGCCUUGACCUUGAUGGUCUAUUAUUUUUAGGUGUAAGGGCUGCUAUAUUCUCUUAUGCAAAAUUAUUCCCUUGAUCUCUUAAUCAUCAAAGAAGUCUCAACGGUGCUUUUCUAGAGGUCCUACUCAGUGCAUAUUAACAGGCUGUAGGAGGACCUAUAGUUAUUUCUCACAAUCAGACCAGAGCAGUCUUACAGCUUUCUCUCAGGGCUCAAAAUUCUACACAGGCAAUGGGCAGCCAUUCUCUACCCUUCCCUCUUUCCCUUGGGGACUCGGCAGCUCUGCUUAUCAGAAAGUGGCAUCUGGUUUCCUUGAUCCUGGGUGUGGCCUGACUUGUGACUUGCACUGGCUCUAAGAGCACAGCAGGUGUGCAGUGUAGCAGGCCUGGGCCUGAGCCUGCAGAGACCAGCAGAUGUCUGUCACUCACGCUCCCCCACUUCACCACGGGGCCAGGAUCAGGACAGCCUGUUGCAGGUGAGAGACCAUGUGCACUAGAGCCGAACCGUCCCAGCCCAGGCCAGCGGAGACGGCCCGUCCCCAGCCACCCUGCCAGCGGACUGCAGGCUCCUGAGCCAGGCAAACUGAGAACACGGGGCCUGGCCCAUCAGAGUGCCACCCGCCUAACAACUGACAAACGGGGUGUUGUUAAGGCGCUGGAUUUGGGGCAUUUUGUUAUCAACAAAAUGCUAAUUGAUAUAAUACACAUUUGGUAAAUGUAGCUAAUACUCUGUUGGAUUUUCCAUUCAGCUCACCAAGGAGGCUGGGCUUCUCCAGAGUGUGGCCCUGUCCCUUCCUGUGGGACUGUCCUCUCUAGUCCCUGCUGGGCCCUGCUCUCUGCUUAGCAAGGGCAUCGAUGGCUUCAUAAGCACCGAACAUCAUCUGCUUUCUGCUCUUCAUUACCAAUACAGAAAAACAAACCUAAGGAGAGUCUUCCUAGUGCAAGAAAGAACGGAACAUAGCAAGUUCCCAGGGCCACACCAACCCCACACAGCAGACACAACGCGAGAGGUGACUCCACCCGGGAACCCUGUGUGGCAUGAACGUGAGUCCUCAUCCUCACGGUUGUCCCGGGCAAGCCCUGAAGUGCAGAGCAUAGGGGAGCACAGGCUAAAUGUGUGGAAUGGAGCCGGAUUAGAAGAGGAGACGCUCCUGCUAAUUCUGGACUUGCUUCCAACGCGUGCCAGCUCCCUGCUGUUGAACCUCGGCCCCGCCAGUCUUCCCCUCUGAACGUGUUUCUUCUUCUGUGAAAUAGGAGUAAUCAUGUGCUCUUCUUACCUCAUACAUCAUUGCAAGGAUUAAACUAGAUGGCACGUGUGAAAAUGCUUGUACACUCCGAAGAACCACGUGAGGCAUCGUAAGCGCUGUGAGGAUUGCUACUAUUUUGAGCCCACAGUGGGAGACUGGACCUGGGAGAAAUGGCAGAUGGCCCGGGGUUGUGGGGCAGGAGGCUGACUUGUUUGCUUAUCAGUGGAAAACACACUCUGACUCAUAUCAGAAAAGAAGCCUGGCAAACAUUAAAAAAGAAAAAAUUUGGAGAAAGCCAAUGAGCCCACAGUUGGAAUUUUGGACUGGGGUUUAGAAACAUGAGUACAGGAGGCUGACAACAUUGGAUGGAGUCCAGGAGAAGCAGCAGUCCCUCCAGAACAGAAGGUCCCAUUCGCAAAGUAGUCAGCACGAAACAUGUGGGUCUGGCUCCCAGGACGUUGCGCUUGUUGGCUAAAGUUCUUCUGUAACCAAAUGCACGAGGUUCCCUCCUCAUGAGCUUAAGGCUGAAGCACAACCAGGAGACCAGAGUGAAGGUAGGCUUACGGCUCGCAGAGGGUACUGCCCCUCAGAGGAAGCAAGAGGCUCUUCACUGGGGAGGUCAUACAUAUUCAUGUGUGACAACCCGUCACCACCUGUAGGGCAGGCACAGUCAUGAGCAUGCUCAGUGGAGAUCACUUGUCACACGAUCAAAAAUAAAUGGUGGGUGGAAGCAACGCUGUGUGGAGAGUUUUGUAUUAUAAAGAGCAAACUUUACUCUUGGUCACCUGAAGAGAGUGAGUCAGAGUGACGAGGCGAGUUUGGCUGGUUCCUUGGAAUUCUCUCUGGAAGGCUUUAGUGGAAACACAACACAGCACAAAUCAGAACAGCAUUGAUAAUCAUUUAAAAGGGCAGUAGCUUUCCACCCCACAUGCGCAGAGGACUGUCCCUAAAGCACUUGCCUACCAGCCACCGUGUCCAAGAGGAAGAUGCUUCAGGAAUAUGUGACAUGCUCUGGUGGUAAAGUUCACAGGGCCCUGCACAGGACCCCCCAACUCUACCCCAAGUCUGGGUGAAGAAAAUAGUAAGAAAUACACCAGACAAAGAGGAGCCCAAGAUUUUCAUGUGAGCCAGUAUUUCUAGCAGUUAGGAUGCUUUGGGCUGCAAGUAACAGACAAGAAAACAAAGACCUCAUCAGGGAUGAGGCCAUUCAUUCUUCCCUUAUGAGAAGUCCUGAGGCAGGUAUGUACUAGGAUUGCUAAUUCAUCAGUUUAACAAAAUCAUCUAGGUCCGAAUCCAUUCUGUCUCCCCUUUCUGUGGAGCUGGGUGGGUGAUUUGGUUUAUCCUUUUAGGCUGGCUACUGGCCUACAUAGGUGGCUGCUACAAUUCCAGGCAGACCAUGCAGAUGACAAUAUCUAUAUAGAUGACAAUUCAUCAGUCCCUUUUUAAGAUCAAGGGAUAAUUUCCCUGAUGUUCCACAGUGGAUUUCCUCCCCUUGUAUUUAUGCAUGACUGCAUCUCUUCCUAAGCUGGAUUAGUCAGGAUAUAUCAAUCACAAAGAAUUGGCUCACACAAUUAUGGAGGCUGAGAUGUCCCAAGAUCUGCAGUUCUAAGGCCUGGGAUCUAGGAGAGUUAAUGGUGUGAUUUCUAGUGCAAGUGAUUUCUAGGCAGGGAAGACCACUAUCCCAGCUCAAAAACGUACUCUCUCUUGUUCAACCUGUUGUUCUAGCCAGGCAUCAGCAGAUUGCACGAGGUCCAUCUGCAUUGGGAGGGGCCGUCUGCUUCACUCAAUCUACAGAUUCAGAUGCUAACCUUACCCAGAAACACCCUUGUAGACAUACCCAGAAAUGAUGAUCAAUCAAACAUCUGGACACCCCUUGACCCAUUUAAGUUGAUGCAUAAAAUUAACCAUCACACAAGACUGAUAUCAGUCACAAGUGACUGUCAGACGAAUCAAGAUCCAUGCUGGGACUUGAGAGGGAAGCCAGCCUCUGGAAACACAGGCCUUCCAAUUCCUGAACACAGCUGGGAUUCUGCUGUCAGGUAAAGAGGGGAAGAACUGCUUAUUAUAAUAAGGGUAGCUGCAUCCCUCUGGCCCUUAUGACUCUUAGACGAGGCACCCCAAAUGCAAUACGUAACAGAUGCUAUUAGUGCCAUUGCCGUAGCUGACACUUGUUGGGCAGUUAUGUCUACAUCUGGUACAGAGGUAAUGUCCAGGAAGAUGACACUGCGGAGCUGUCAUCUCAUUCAAUCAUCUCAGCUGCCUGGAGCUCCAAGUCAUCGACUUUUCUUGUUCAGGGAGGAGAGAGGAGAGUUUAGUAACUGAAUGUCUUUGGAAGAGUCCAAGGUGAAUCUUCCUUAUACCAAACUUCUCUGUAUAAAUAACUGUUUGCUAUGCUUCUGUGGAAUUCCUAUUUUUCUUUUCUUUCUAGUUGUUAAUCUCACCUAUCAUCACCAUGAUUUCUACCUGGGUUGGUUUCUUAGAUUGUGUCUUUAGCAUAGGUGCCCAGAACUUCAGGAGUCAAGUGAUGUGAAAAUCAGCCCAGAGGGAAAACCCUUUGAAGUUCCAUGGUUAUUUUUUUAUUUUUUAUUUUUUUGAUUUUUUGAACACAUAGUUCUGCAACAAAGUUGCAAGCAAUACUGAAAUUCUGUGAAACACAAGUUUGCUUUCCACUCUGGACCCUGCCCAGAUCAACUCACCUAUUAAUCCCCUCCUGUUCAUUAAUGAGCUAUUACUAUGCCAAGGUGCAGGCUAGUUUCAGGCUGGCUCUUGGAGUUCUAUGCAGUUGUCUCUGGUUCCUUCCAUCUCACACCUCCAACACCACCAGCGGCUGAGUGCCAACCAGCCGUCUUCACAAAACCUUUGACCUCUUCAUUCCCUGUCCACAGCUGAUAAUCUUGGAUCCACUGUGCCAGCCUCUAUUGGUCUUACUGACUUCAUUGCCUCCUUCUUGGUCUUUCUUCCAUCUUCUGUAAGAAUGUUUCUUGCACAGAUUAUGUUAUGGGCUGAACUGUGUCCUCCCACUGCAUCUUCUUGUUGAAGUUCUACCCAGAACCAUAUAAUGGGACUGUAUUUGGACAUGGAUCUCAUGAAGUUUAAAUGAGGUGUUUAGGGAAGAUUCUAAUCCAAUAUGGCUGGAUCAAAAAGAGAAUAGGACAGACAUUUGCAGAGGGAAGACCUUGUAAAGACACAGAAAGAAGAUAGCCAUCGGCAAGCCAAGGUAAGGCUGCAAAAGAAACUAACCCUACUGACACUCUGAUGUUAAACAUUUUUAGACUCCAGAAUGGGGGAAAACAAAUGUCUAAUGUCUAAAUUUUCCAGUUGGUAUCACUUUGUUAUAGCAGCCCUACCAAACUCAUACUGUCUACCUAUAACAAAGUCACUCAUUGAAAGGACACUUGUUUCUUAACAGAGAGGCCAAUUUCUCACAUCAGGUCUCUCAGGGCCCUGCUGCUCUGACACUAGCCUGCCUUUCUAUCUUCUCUGCCUCUUGUUCAUGCUCCUUGCUCUAGUGCCCCCCAAACAGACUUAAUUCAGCAGACUCGGCUGUGCUUCCCUGCCUUAGUGCCUUUGCACAGGAUCUUCCCUCUACAUAAAACAGUUCUGCAUUUCCAGACACAGUCUCCCAUUCCUAUGUUCUGAAAUCACAUGGAUCCCUCUGACUUUGGUGCCAAUUCCUUUAUAACUCCAUAUGCUCUACCAAAGCCACAAUCAAGCAGAAUCGCUCUUUCACCUCCUCUGAAGCACUUUGUAAAAUUCCACCACAGCCUCGAACCUGCCUAGUGUUCCACUUUGGCAUGGACCAACAGCUUCCUGUUUUCUGUGAUUCUCUAACUAAAUUCUUCAUCCUAUCUGUCUUUUAGCCUAUGUCUAGGAAGGGCUAGAUGCCGUGUAUUUUCACAAGCGUGUGUGGAACUGAAAGGGCAGGCUGGAUUGGAACACAGAAUCCAAAACAGGGCCCCAAAGGAGAAUAAUAUCCAUAGAAAACAGGAACUAGAAACAGGGAUUCACAUGGCAUUAUCUGGUGUGACCUGGAGAAAGAUGGAAAGGCCGGGAGAAGACAGCCUUAGCUGCCUCCCCAGCCCUGCAGCUACAUCGAGAGGAUACCUGUCUAGGGUAGAAUUUUGGCUGAAUAUUCUGGAAUGUUUUCUGAUCCCUGGAGGUAACUCAGCAGGAGUUUCACCUUGGAAAGCUGCCUGGUCAUCAGAAGUUGGUGGGUGUGUGUGGGUGGGGGGGUAUGCUUUCUUUCUUUUUUUUGCUCUAGAGACUGAACCCAAGGUGCAUCUCACUAAGUUGUUGGGGGUGGCCUUGAACCUUGCAAUCCUCCUGCCUCAGCCUCCUGAGUAGAUGGGAUUAUAGGUGUGCAUCACCACACAUAGCUGGAUGGAAAGGUUUCUAAAAUCCUUUUGCUCUGUAAUUUAUUUGUUUUUGAAGUGUCUUAUUAGAGGUAAGCAGGCUUUUGAAUGUGAACCCAUACUUCUAGAAACCAUCUGCUAUCCAGAAAUCGUUAAUAAAUUCUAAGUGUGGUUUUGCUCAGAUCUGCUGCAAGGUGAUCAAAGCAAAGUGGCUUAUAUAAUAUCUCCUUCCCCAUUUGCUCCUUUGGCUGUCACACGGGUGAGGAACCCAAUUAAAGAUAAAACAUAAGAAAAACAAGAAGCACAAAAAUGCUACUUCUCUCCCAAACUCUUGCAAAAUCAGGGAAAAAAAGAAAAAAAAAAACUUUCUUCUCAUUUCUGCAAAAGAAAAAUGAGAUCGGAAACUCUGAGCCAUGUGGAAUCCAGCAGGGCCGAUUUUUUCCCCUAGUGAGCCUUAAGGCAGCAAGAAUUUGUCCCUUGCUUUUCUUUCUCUUUCUGUCUUCCCUCAUCUGUCCCUGAGUGAGGCUUGCUGUUGGGGACUGAGCAGGUUCUCUCAGGCUCCCUGAGCUCCCCAACGCACAGCAUAUUAGAAUGCAGGAGAAGUUGUGCGGGAAGGGAAAGGGGCCACGCAGCGGCAUCGACAUUCACUGGGGACAAGGAGGCUGGCGUCCUCGGGCUGCUACAUUCUGCGGCUCAGUGGAGAGGAGCAUUUGGCGUCGUUUCCCCGGGGUCUGCCUGACAGUGUGUCCAGUUCUCUGGUUCCUUUUGGGGGCUGCCCUGGUGUCUGUUGUCAAGGCCGUGAGUUUUCUGGAGAGUUGGAGGCACCAGGACAGGGUGGAGUCAGGAUCUGCAGUCGCACAGGGUUGGGGCAAGGGCCUCCCGGCUGCGAAGGGCCCUGGGUCCCAAAAGGUCUUUUAUGGAUGCCCAGUGACUUCAGUUGGGUUCCCCAGAUGAAGCAUGGGACAGGCCGCCUGUGCCAGGGAUUGAAGAAGCCAUUGUUCUGAGAAGGGAGGGGGCUGAGGAGAGGUAGUGUUGGGGGUGGGGCUAAGUGGAGGGGGACUCUCUGGGUCUGCCCCCGCUGGGUCCCAAAGGAGUGCCACAAGGUGGACCGUACCACACCCAUGGUCCCCUCUUGUAUCUCCAUGUUUGGUCAUUUGUCACUGGCCACGGAGGUACCGAGGUGGGUCUUCCCACCAGGACAAGAGGAACGGUCCCCAGAGUGAAGGAGAAGCUGCAUUCAUCUACUCGAGGGCUGUCAGCACAAAGCUCCUCCAGGAUGCUUGGGACCAGCUGUGUGGAGGGUUUUGGAUAUUUUUGAAAAUUUUGAAAGACUAGUAUGUAUGUCAUAAGAAAUCUGGAGAUGGGAUUCGAGACCAAACACAAAACGCAUUUAUGUUUUUAUAUAUGCCUUCUAUGCAGGGCCUGAAGGCAAUUUGAUACAAAAAAUCCUAGGUGUCUGCAUUUUAACUGAAAGCCAUAGGUGAGGUCAGUUGCAUUGUUAUAUUGGUGCUGAAAAUGUUUCAGAUUCUGGAGCAUUUUGGACUUUGGAUUAGGGACAGUCAACCUGUACCCGGCAUUGGAUGCUUCAGCAACUGACUGUGUCCCCUCACCAUCUGGAGGCUGGGAGUCGGAAGUCCAGUCCUGAUGGGGAUGGUUUCUUCUGGGGCUGCCCUCUUCAGCUUGCAGAUGACCUUCCCGCUGCAGGUUCUCACUACAUCCUCCCUCUAUAACGUGUGUGUCCAAAUUUCCCUCUUUAUUGGAACACCAAGUACAUCGGGUUGAGGUGGACUUCAAAGACCUCACUUUAACUCAUUUGUCACUGUAAAGGCCCUACCUCCCAAUAAGGUCCCAUCCUGAAACACCAGGGUUAGAACUCCAACACAUGAAGGUUGUGGGCAGGGGGACAGUGACACCAGCCACUGGGGGAUGGACGUGCCCACCAGGUGGUUCAGAGGACCGGGCAGACCUGCUCCAUGCAGACCUUGCAGAUCAAGCGCCAGUGCUGGGUGCGCUUCACGGUUCGCACUGGUUUCCCCGGGCAACAUCUUGUCACAUACGGCCGCCUCUCGGGUGGACAGUUCUAGAAAGCCCUUGUGGCCAUCAGCACUCACCUCUUAGCACAGAUUAGUUUCAGAAAAUCACUUUUUCUUCACAAAGACGUAGCAUGACCAAGAAGCAGAGUGGAAAGACUGGGUGAAGGUAAAGUGAGAGCAAAGGGGAAGGUUUUCUGACUUGCCGAGUUUGCCUCUGGCCAGCCGGGCAGAAAAGAGGCCCAGGGCAGGCCAAUGGAGGCUCUGGUAGGAGGGGAACAAAAAGCUGCAGGGCACCAAGAAGCAACUGUCUUUGUGGAAACAAACCAGUGGAAGAUGUAGGAUCAGCCUUAGAAAGGGGGUGGCGAGGGGCCAGGUCCCGGCAGUCGGGUCAUAAAGCUUGGGUUUGCUCAUUCUCAUGGGACAGGCGGCUGGAGUUAAAGCAGCCUCCUCUUUUCUUCCUGUUGCUGUACAAGGGUCAGGGGUGAGGGGAAGCUCCUUGCUUUUCCCUUAAGAACAAAGAGUAGGACCAUUUUUUUCCUGAUGGAUGACCUUUCAGUUAUGGGGCUGGGUGUGGGGUCUUACUGGGUGGACACAUAUUUUGGAGGCAUCUUUGUUGUGAGAGGAGGCUGCAUCGGACAGGAAACUUGGGCUCAGGUGCUGGAAAGGAAAGCUAGAGAUGGGACUGGAAUAAUGCAGCACAGAGGGUUUUGUGCCUUCAAAACCUGCUUGGAGCAAUUUCAGUUAUUUACUAGGCAUUUAAAAUAAGGGGUGUGCUGGACUGAGGCUAUAGCUCAGUGACAGAUCACUUCCUAGCCUGUGUGAGGUCCUGAGUUCAAUCCAAUAGUACAAAACAUAUAUAUAUAUAUAUAUAUAUAUAUAUAUAUAUAUAUAUAUAUAUAUAUAUAUAUAUAGAGAGAGAGAGAGAGAGAGAGAGAGAGAGAGAGAGGGGAUAGGUGAAAUGAGGUGUCUAUAUCAUAUCAUGCACACACCAGACAGCAAUGCUGGUGCUCAUUCCCCGUCACCUCACCUGUGUCACGUGCCUGAGUUUCUUCCCCACGUGCUCAUUGCAAGCACAAAGCAAACAAGCCCCGGGGGUUGCUGGGUGGCGUCCCUCCCUAACGUCAGGCUCCCUCCACCUCUUGGUCUUCACGCACUUGUUUGCUGGAGCAGCUGCGUGUUUAUCCUCCAGAGCCGGGUUUUGCAGGUUUCACCCCGUUGGGCUUUUAAGCUGCCCAGGCAUCCAGUGUGCUUUCUGUGAAGGGGUAGGUGGAUGGACGGAGAGGGCUGAUCAGAUUCUGAUUUGGGGUAUAAGACACGGUUGCAUGAUACGUGCCGGGUGAACUUCCUUUCUGCAAGGUCACAAAGGUUGCUCUUCUGAUUGGAUAGCAAGAAUGAGCUAGGUCCGCCAGCCCUCUGGUAAGGGUGCUAACCCUACUCUUACCUCAUCACCUCACCCCUGCUUAAAGACCUCACCCUUCUAUGGCCGACUUGGACCUCAGGUUCUACCAUACAAAUUUGAGGAAGAUAAAUAUACGCAAACCAUAGCAUUUGCUGAUUUUAAUAGCAAUGAGUUGGUUACCAAACAUUCUCCAAGGUAAUCCAAAGUAUUUUUGUUAUGCACUUAGGGAUUUAACCAUAUGUAACAUGUUUGGUAUCUCCAACCUGGCUGACCCCUGAAAAAUUUUAAAACAUUUUUUAUUGAGAUAUGUAGUUCAUAUGCAGUACAGUUCAUUCAUUUAAAGGAUACAAUUCAAUGGUUUUUAGUGUAUUAAGAAUUGUGCAACCAUCACCACAAUCAACUUUUGUCAUCCCCCAAAGAAACUCUGUGCCCAUUAGCACUCAUUCCCUGUCUCUCUCUAACUACGUUCUCUUCCCUAGAGCCCUAGGCGCCCUAUAGCUAGAAAACCACUAAUCUACCUUUAGCCCAGUUCAUUUGCUCAUUUUAGAAAUUUACAUAAAUGGAAUAACAUAAGAGGGCAUCUUUUAUAGCUGGCCACUUUCACUUAGAAAAACAUUUUGAAAGUAAUCUACAUUGCAACAUGAACCAGUGUUUCAUUUUUUAAAAAUUGCGGAGUGACAUCCAUUCUGUGGGUGUUUUCUAUGGACCAUCACUUUCAUUUACCGUCCCCCUGGUCAUGGGCACAUCUUGCCUCAGUGUCUCUUGAUUGGGUGCCUGGCCAGCUUGACAGCAUUCUUGCUUUCUGAUGUGAUAAAACGUUCCAGAAUCUCCCGGCACAUGUCUGCUCCAGGCCUGGAAGAGCCUAUUCUCCAAGGUGAACCUGUUCCCUUGAGUGGGAAAUGGACUGUUAAGAUUAAAGUCUGGGUGCUGGGAAGCCCUUAGCUGCUGGGAUAUCCACCGAUGACAGGACUUGCAGCGGAUACAGCCAAAAAUAUCUUUUCUUUGUUUACUUGAUUGUUUUUUUGCUAUUUAUAAUAAACUAUGUGGAAUUCAUCCUGGAACUUCUAGUUAAAAUGUAGGGCCAUGGUGUUCUUACUUAGCCUCAUCAACCUUACCUUUUUUUGUUGCUGUUGUGGUGCUAGAGAUCAAACCCAUGGUUUUUAUUUUUGCACUCUAAGAUUGCAGGUUCACAGUGAACCAACAUAACCACUCAUUUUUGCAUUAUCUCAUCACACACACACACACACACACACACACGUUUCAAUUCACAAUGCCAACACUUGCAGGAGCAAUAUUUUGACUGAAAACAGUUUAUGAUUUGCUAGCGGGUGCUUUUUCCUCACAGAAGUGCUGCUGGGAUAUUGGUUUGCAAUGCAUUUUAACAGCAUGUGCAACAGCUCCUCUGGGUGAUUAUGCUCUCAACCGGACACUAUCUAAUUUCAUUUGGUUCACUUUACUUUUUAUUUUUAAGGAUUUUUAAGCUGUUUUUAUUAUGUAUUAAAGUUAAAUCUGCAAAAUAAGAUUUGUCCAAAGAAGCUUAGCUUCUCUUCCUAUCCCUUCUAUUGUAUUCCCUUAUCUUUCUGUAGACAACCACUUACAGACAUUUAUCUUCCCAGGACUUUUUAAAAAUUUUAAGGAAAUUCUCUCUACAUUCACACCCCCUCCUUUCCUAAUCUAUUAUAGUUGUUGUUUUUCAUUUUUCUUUUUUCACUUGACCAUAAAUAUCAGAGAUUUAUGGAAAACUUUCUCAUUCUUUUUGACAGCUGCAUAACCCUAGUACUGGGUAGUACUGUAGCACAGUUAAUUCACUAGGCACUCCACAGAUGGACAAUCUGGUUGUCCUAAGUCUUGUGCAUCUCACAAUUGGAGAUGCAAUGAAUUGAAUUUACAUUUUGAAAUUUACAUUUUCAAAAUUUUGCCAGUAUAUUACUGAGUUAGGUCCCAGAAGUGGGCUAGCUAGACUGGAAAGCCUUAUAUUGUCAAAUCUGGAUUUUUUCCCAAUGCAUUAAUUCAUUUAGGGUUGCAAAAUGGUGAUACUUAAAUCCCAACACUCUUAUUCAUUGAUUAGAAUAGUUCUAUGAAGAGAGAUUCCCUUUUACCACCUCUCAGCCCAAAUACCUGCUGGUUCACAACAAUGAAGGUUCUCAGGCACACUCCAGAGGUGACAAUGAAGGUUUUUGUCUGUAUGAAUCAUAAGCAUAUAAGUUUAGCCAUAUUUGGUGUAUUUCAAUACAUUGGUAUAUCUUAUCAUAAUUUUAAUUUGCAUUCCUCUUAUGAGACAGGUAAAAGAAGUUGAAUAUCUUCCCAUGUGUCGAAGAGUCAGUUGCAUUGAUUAUUUGUUUUUUCCACAAAGUAAGUGUUCAUAUUUCUAGAUUUUUUUUCAGCCAAGAUGGUUUUUUUUUUGUCUUUUAUCAAAACCUUUUAAUGAGUUAAGUCUAUUGAUGGAUAUAUGUACUUUUCUCUUAGUAUAUCAUCUGCCUUUUUACUUACGCUUUUUUUCCAUAAUUUUUUUAGUAAUAAAAUUAAUCAAUCUUAUUGUUCUAGACACUAAACCAUAUUUACAAAGGUUUUCUUGUUCUCAGGUUAACAAUGAAUUGCCCAGUAUUUUUUCUAGGACCAAAUGGUUUUCUUUUGGUUUUCCAUUUAAAUAUGCAACAAUAGAAACUUAUCCUAGCAUACAGCAUCAGUAGAUUCCACUUUCUUUCCCACGGGGCUGUACAGCUAUGCAAAGCUGUACAGCUUUGCUCUACUGACUUAAGAUGUGCUCUUUCUUGUAUACUAAAUUUUCAUAGUCAUGUGAGUCUGUCUCUGGAUUUUCUCUUCUGCAUCCAGUCUAUCUGAGCACCAGCAUGAAGCUUCUUAAAGGAUAGACCCAUCACAGUGUGUUCUGACAUCCCAGAGGUCUGGCGCCUCCCUCUCCCCCACAGCGCUUCUUUCUUAGGGUGUUAGUUAUACUUGCUUGUUUUUUAUUCUAAAUGAACUCUUUCAUCAGUCUGUCUGCCCUCAAACAAAAGCCUGGGAAUUUAAGAAAAUUUAGAUUGCAUUAAAUUUAUUUAUUAACUUGACAAAUCCAAUAACUUGUGUUUCCAAUAACUUUUUUUUUUUUAAUUUUUUUUUAUUGGUUGUUCAAAACAUUAUAAAGCUCUUCACAUAUCAUAUUUCAUACAUUAGAUUCAAGUUGGUUAUGAACUCCCAAUUUUACCCCAAAUACAGAUUGCAGAAUCACAUCGGUUACACAUCCACAUUUUUACAUAAUGCCCUAUUAGUAACUGUUGUAUUCUAACUUUUUUAAUGCAGAGUCCCUUCAAAGAACACAGGUUGGCUUGGCACCUGUGUUCUAGUCUGCUUUUGUACCUUCCAUGAGUGUUUUGUGGUUUUAUGGAGGAUUAAUAAUUAAUAAAUGAAGUGUUUUAUGGUUUUUUUCACUUGGGGUUUGGACCCUCUUUUGUAAGAUCCACACCUAAGUUUUUCUUCCUUUCCUUUCCCCCCAAAGGUGUAUACAGAGGUUUGUUUAUGAAAGUAGGUACAUAUUCAAAGGGUCAUAGGGGACUCUCAAGAGAGAGACUGUGGGGUAAAGCAAGGAAUGCAUAUUCAAGGGAGAAUGCUGGCCAGGUUUUUAUGAUGUGCACUUAUUUUUCUCUGAUAAUUUUAAACUUGCUUCCUCACUAAAUUCUCUUAGGGCCAUAGUGUCUUUCCUUUUGAUUCUUUUGAAUUUUCCACAUAUGUAAUCGAAAAGUGAAAAAAAGUGUUUUAUAUUAGCAACUUGAAGAAAUGUUUGAAAUCUGAAUCUCUGAGACAGUGUGCCUCUUGGGGCUGGGAUUGUGGCACAGUGGUAGAGCGCUCGCCUAGCAUGGGUGGGACCUGGGUUUGAUCCUCAGCACCACAUAAAAAUAAAAGCAUUGUGUUGUGUCCAUCUGUACCUAAAGAAUAAAUAUUAAAAGAAAGAAAGUGUGCCUCUUAGGAACCAUGUGAAUGCAGUCGAUGCAAUUGCCAAAACUGUGGGAAGCAUAUGAGGAAAAAUAUCGGCAUGGAGAGCAAACAGAGCUUUUUAAGAUUUGUUGUUUUAUUGGUGAAUUACCGUCACAUAAUAGCAGCAUUCAUGGCCGUAUUUGUACUUGCACCUGACGUGAUUCCAUCAGCCACGUUCCCCAGCCUCUUUCCUCCCUUCUGCCAAUGUGCCUGCUCUACUCUAUGGAUCUCCCUUCUAUUAUUAUCAUCAUUAGUUUAAUUGGUGCAUUAUAAUAUUUACAAGAGUGGGAUUCGUUGUGGUUUAAUCAGACGAUGACAGCUUUUUAAAGUGUUCAUCUUGCAAUCUCCAACUCAUAAGGCUAGAGAAACGUCACAAAACGAUGUCACUGUUUUCUUGGUCCCUCAGACAGCCCUUUCCUCCUGUCUCCUUUACUCUGUUUUCUUAGGAGAGUUACUGCAGCAUGCAGGGUCUGCUUUCCUCGCGGAUUCUCUAUCUUUCCACCAUUUAGGGCUCAUUUCAGCUCCUCUUUACUCUUCAGCUUGUGUCUCCUGUUUCUGCUUCUCUUAUUUUUGCCAUGUUUUUGUUUAUGUUUCCAUUGGAAAGAACAUUGGACUAUAAUCAGGACUAAAUAAAAAACAUCCACUGCAGGACAGGUCUUAAAAAUAUGUGCAAAUAUUUCCAGACAUGUCUUUUUAUUUUACUUCUGGGGGAACAAAAGAGUGUUUUUGUUUUGUUUUGUUUUGGUGCAAAGGACCUAGCACAUAGCACAGCUUUUCCUGAACAUCAUAGGUAAUAAGAAUGAUGGUGAAGAUCUCCAUCCCAUGGGCAGCUCCUCAGCGCCAGGUACACUGCCAGACACGGAGCUAGAAACUUGUCCACUCCAGGGACUGCUCACCCUGCUGGGCGUAAAAGGAAACCUCGGCCCUCGCUGAACUUACCUUCUAGGAGGAGGACAGAAAAUCAUGAAAUGAAUCCACAGACUGAAGAGGAUCUUCUGCAGUUCUGCCUAUUCUAGAAAGUGGAGGUUUGGGCAGUGCAAGGCUGGGGAUGGGAGAAUGUAGGACGAGGACACAGAGGUUGGAGGUGAGCUGGAAAGGGGUGUGGCAGGUGGCAGGUUCUCAUGCACUGGAGUCCUGGGGAAGGGGCUCCUGAGGACGAGUGUCUGGGAAUAUUCACAAGAGACAUUCCUCAGCCUGGCCCGAAGCCAUCUUCUCUGUCUACUGGGAAACUUCUCCCCACAGAAGUUAACUUCCUCACACUCCAGAUCAUGCUUUCUGGUGGCCUAUCAGAAAGCCAGACCCCACUUUGUUGAGGAGAUGACAGGGCAGGAGUGACGCAUUGACCAAGGGGAAAAAAGGAGGUAGUGGUGACCAAGGGAAGGACAGUUUAUAAGAGGGUGAGUCUCGUCACAUGAACUCAGAGAGGUAAAGGGGGGGGGUGGUGGAGGGCUUCCAAGUUCCUAGGAAGACAGUGGCUUUGACUUGGUAGGUGGCGGGGAACUACUGGGGGAGGGCCUGGAGCAGAGCGCUGACCCAUCUGACUUGUGUUUUCACAGGGCACAAAAGCCCUGCAUAGGCAGUGAUUCAUCCUUGAGGACAUGAAAAAUUUCCUGGUAGUCACAUAGAGAAGGUGGUGGAGCUAGGAUGUGAACCCAGGUAUGAGGCUGAGGUCCCCGCUGUACCUAUGAGGAGCAUUUCCUGCCUGAUCUACUAGUUGCAUAUGUUUUUAUUCUUUAUGUCUUUUUUGCACCUCCUUUUCAGGUCUGUGCAUUUCUGGUUGGCAGAGAAUGAAGCUGUGCUCAGUCUGUAUUUUUUCCCUCAUGCCCCAAAUACGUAUUCAUUUCUGCCAUGUGCAUGACACCAUAAAUUGCACCACGAAUGAUAAGAGAGGUGGACAGCGAGGGACUUUCUCUCAAGAUAUUUAUAGGCUAGCUAUGAAGGGAAGACAGGAUUUGUCUUUAAAUUGUUUAAAUCCAAUGAUUUCCACUUUUGGCCGGGGACAGGGGGUUCUUGCUUGUUUCAUUUAAUUAUCUGAAAGAAAAUCGCUAUUUCUUUUUCAAGAACAGCCCUAUCCAAGAACCAGAAGCAGAUAAAAUAUGGGAUUCCCUCUUUGAUUUUAUAGAUUUUGACUUCCAGCUUGACUGUUCCGUUAGCACAGUAAAAGAUGACUCCCGGCUCCCCACCCCCAAGCCUUGCAAGCCCAACCUGUGAUCAGGAAAUCCAGCUGCUCGCAUUCUAUGUCUCGCCUCAUUGCCAGGAAUAAAGAUCCGGCAAUCCCUGCUUAACUGACAGUGCUGCCAGUGACACCUGAGUCCCAGCAGAAACCAGCUCAGCAGUUCUGCAGCAGCUGAGCUGUGCUUCUGGGCAGCGGGUAAGUGUUCAGCACCAGAAGCUGCUCCUCUCUCCUUGAUGAGGAGACAUGACAGCUGAGUGGGGGGUUCUGGGUCAGGAGACACUGCUGUCUCCCUUCCACUGCUCUUUCAGUUAUUAUGAGGACUUAAACCCAAGAUCUGUGCCCUUGGAGCCCCUGCAGGAGGCCAGGAAAGUAUCACAUUUUAGGGGAACCAGCUCCAGAUGUGGAUCACAGGUUUGAGGUCUACCCUGGUCACCAUCUGUCUGUGGGGUGUGCGUACUCCAAGAAACGAUUCGUGGAGUCCUCCCAUUUUGUGUACCCCACACAUUUGGGUUUUGCAGAGUCCAUAGGGGAAGCCAACAGGAUCAUAUGUGGCCUUUGCAACUCCUAAAAUUCCUGUUUGAAAGCCCAUCUGUGUUCACCUGAGUUUGCCUCUGUGGCCAUGUGACUGUGCAGUCCCUCUGGCUCUAUAGAUCAGAAUAAACCCUCUGUAUUAGUCAGCUUUUUGUUGCUGUGACCAAAAGCCCUGACAAGAACAACUUCGAGGAGGAAAAGUUUAUUUUGGCCCACAAUUUCAGAGGUUCAGUCCAUGGUUGGUCAACUCUAUUGCUGUAGGUCUGAGAUGAGCAGAUCAUCAAAGCAGGAGGACACUCUAUGAGAAAUCAGUCACCUAUGGCAGCCAGGAAGUCGAGCGUGUGGGUGGAGCCAGGAGCAGAGCCUAAUCCCCAGUUACGCCCCCAGCGACCUACUAGCAUGCCCACCUGCCAACAGUUUCCACCCAGUAAUCUGUUCAGAUUAUCAAUCCAUCAAGUACAUGAAUCCACUGAUUGGGUUCCAGCUCUCACAAUCUAAUCGCUUCAUUCUGAACAUUGCUUCGCUGUCUAACACCUGAGCUCUUUGGGGGUUACCUCAUUUCCAAACCACAGCACCCACUCAUGGUCCUUCCUGAAGUAUAUGAUGACCUUCACUUAGCCAGGUUGUUCUCCAAGUUCUUCCCCUCCAGCCAGUGGAACUCUGUGCAGAUUUCUGACAUCGGUUCUUCACAUUCUGCAGUUCUGGAGCUGCCACCCUUUGCUCACCACAACUGCUUCUCACCUGGCUAUGUGUGCAAGUCAUUCGUUCACUCAGUCCUCCAGUUAAUACAUAAGUGUCAAGAACUGAUUGCUGCCAGGUGUUGUGACACCUAGCACCCAUCCUGCCCCUUGGGAGGCUGAUGGCUCAGGGCAGUCUGUCUUUAUGCCUGUUGCUUUCCUAUUUGAAUAUCUUUGUUGUAAUAAUUUUACAAAAGAGUAAACCUUUCAUGGUACUAUGGGCUCUUUACUGAUCAAUUUUCUAUAUCAUAAAAAUCUCCAAGAUUCAGUAUUAGAAGUCAUUAUAACUAGGAAGUCCUGACUUAUUUAUCUGUAAAAAUCGACUUAGUAAUGGUGAGAUCCCCUCUCCCAGUACCAAAAAUGAUAGAAAUGAGACUACUUUUAGUUUCUUUCUUCCUCCUCUUCCUCUUUCCUUCCUUCUUCUUUUUCAUUUUUGAUUAAGUUGUUUGAACAAGUUCCUCUGGGCUACAAAAACAGAAGCAAUAGUGGUAUCAGUUUCUGAAAUAAGGCUUUAGAUAUAACUGCUACAUUGUCUAGGUGAAAGUUUCUACUGAGAACAAAAUGCACUUGAAAUUUGCAAAAGUUAGCCUGUGAAUAGUUUUGUGUUGAUUUUGAAAAACUUACAAUUCAUUUUUUAAAUGUUAAGUUGAAUUUAUAUAUGUACUACCAAAUAGUAUGCAAGUAUAAGAAUCUAGUUAUUUUCAAUUCUCAAUAUCAAUUCAUUUUAUUUGUUAUUCAAAUGUAUUUCUGUCAAUUAAAGUUUAAUUAAAUAUUUUUGUGUGUGAGCAAAGUAAAUACCAAAUGAAGGAGAUGGGUGGAUCAUGGGAGUAGAAAGGUAGCAAGAUUUGGGAUGAAGUUCUUAACAGGGAGUCUACCCUGUAGCGUUUCUUCCCAUGAGAACAGCCCCACUUCUAUCCAUAAUCAUUAUAUUUCAGAUUUCUUAUCUUGUGUGUGUGUGUGUGUGUGCGUGUGUGCGUGCAUGUGUGAGAUCACGCAGAGCAGAACCAAUGCAGACAGCUUCACCUCCUACCAUCUUGGAAAUCAGCAGACAUCUUAGAGUUGACAGGGUAUGUUCUGUAUUUGAUAAAAUAUGGUUAGUGGUCUGGAUUGCAGGAGUCUUCUAUCCAUAUAUGGUCAUGCAUGUAGUAUGUACUUAUGUCCUCUGUCUUAGUGAAUUGAAUUUAUCUGCUAAAAUGUUUUCCAGUGCCUUUAAAUCUAAAGGUCUUGGAGAAACUAUAUUUGGGCUCUCAGAGCAUUCCCAGGUGUGAUGACUCCUGCGAAGCCAACUGAUUUCUAGGACUACCCAACAGUGACGAAAUACCUUAGAUUCCACUAAAUCCAAGGAUGGGAGAAUGACACCUCAGGGUCUUCAGGUUGUCUUCCAAAGCAUCUUUUGAGUGCCUACCAUGUGCACUAAGGAUACGGUGGUGAGAAAGGCAGGUGAAAAUCUCUGCUCCGGUGCACUGAGGUUCUAGAAUGCUGGCAUGGGUGUCCACUCCUUGAUGCAGCAUCAACCUUCAGUAGGUGUGCCAAGAUGUUGUUUCCUUUCUUUCCUGGUCAAGAUCACAACCUUGAAAUGACGGGGAGGCCCAGCGUCUACGCAUUUACUCUUCAGCCGGCUCUUCUGUCCCUUGAUGUUGUUUUCUUGCUGCAAAACUUUUGCCGUGAUGCACUGGAAAAAGACAUGUGGUUGUUCCUAUCAGGAGCCUGGCUGGAAGAGCCGCAGCAGAUGUCUGUACACAUUAGAGUCUAAGAAAGUGUUCCCAAUCCUUUAAGAAAACCAUUACUUGGCUCACUGCAAGCUAAUUGCAUUUGUUCAGCCAAGGUGAAAAUGGAUGCAGAUGGGAUGAGCUAAGAAAUAUCCUACUGUUAAAUCACAAAAUAAAGCCACUUGUUCAGGAGACUCUAUGGCCCGGGAUACAGUUUUUACCAAGAAGUGGGAAAUUGCUUGGUAAAUUUCUCUUUUCUGCUUAACUAACUCCUUUAAUUAAUUUUUACUGACCUACUCCUCCUUCAACAUGAAAGGUGUGAAUAGAUAAAGAAUUGGUCUUGCAGACCUUCCUUCUAAAGUCAAAAAGUGAAGAGGGAGAUGGAUCCGUUCUCUUUCAAUUUGGGAUAGAACUUAUCAAGUUAAGAUCUGCAACUUGAUAAUUAGCCACAAUGGUACAAUGUUAUCUCAUUAUUUCUACUUUGGCAUGAUAAGAGCUUAUGUUUUAGAUAAAAUGCCAAGAUGGGAUUAAUGACUAAAGCAAGGAGAAUCAAAUUUUAAUGAGAAAAGUACACAACAUCAAGAUAAAACUUUGUGUGAUGUCUCUACUUAAAGGAGGCAGGCUAAAGCUCUAGCAUCAUUCUUCUAUCUUGAAGAGCCACCCUAUCUACUAGUUUGAUCAGAUGGCACCAUAUUGUCAUCUUUUCAUUAGUAAACAUAAGGUGUAGUGUCAUUUAGAAACUUGUUUCCAUGUGGUAGAAAUUACAAUUGGUUCUAGAGGUGUUGUGUUUUUUUUUUUUUUUUUUUUUUGUGUGUGUGUGCAAGAUGUUAAUGCUGAUCACCAGGGAGGCCAGCGGUCCAGAACACUGUGGGUCACUAAUCUUAUCAUCCCUGAAAUUUAUCAGUGACCUGGAGAAAAAUUCCUAUUGAAUGUCCAAAUUGUUGUCUUAUAUUGUCCAACAGAUGGAUAGUACAGAGAGAUAGAUACACAAGAUUAUCAAUCAGUGAUCAGAUACUUAGUAUAAUGAAGAAUUUAUUUUACUAGUAAUACUGUAAUCUAUCAUUUUAAAUUGGCCUUGAUGUUAAUCUAGCUUUCAUUUAAGCAAAGAAUACUUAUCAGCCUGCAGGACCCUUCUCCCAGUUAAUUAGGAAGGACACAGGUAAUAAGGUAAUCCUAAUCACGUUUAAAUAUUCUUUGAGCAGAGUUCAAACAUGCAGCAAGCAGGGAACACCCAGAGUCAGACUCCUGGGAUGACAGCCACAAGUCUGGCCUUCCAGUUGGCUGGUCAACCAGAGUGAAGUCUACAACACAGGUCAGGGCCUUUGUGAGGGAAAGGAACCGUCCCUCAUUUUCAGCAUCCUGUAGGGCCUCUGACAAGAGGACAACUGAGAGUUUGAUAACUCCUAAGACUGCCUGUGGGAUAGGUUUCAUGAACUGUGUGUUCCAUCUCCAAUGGGGUGGCCUCCAGUUCCACAGGACAGGAAGGCAGGUGACAGCUUCACAUGUCAGGUCAGGGACAAAUGGGUACCCAUCUUCCUUAUGUCACCAGGCAGGGCCUCCCUUUAUGAGAAAGGCCCUCCUGAUUUUGGCAGCUCAUGGGAACAUUGAGGCUGAGGGUGACCAACCACCCAAAAUGCUGCUUAGGACUCCAAAUGGGGAUGUUCUGGAUAUACUGGAAAGAGCUUCUCACCUCGUCAGAAGGAAAUCUAUACUUUGCAUAGCUAUCAUCCAUCUACCUUCCUACUUCCCUAUCUAUCAGUAUAUGUAUAUGUAUGUAUGUUUACACAUAUGUGUACAUAUGCAUGUGUAUACAUACAGACAGAUAUGCUUCAUAGGGCUGUCUGUGAAAUGUUUGUUGCCUUGUUAGUUUUAGCCUUAGGGAUUAUUCCAUUGUAAAAAGAGAAAAGAAUUGUAAAAAUACUUUGGCUAACAGUCUCUUCAAAAUUCUCACAUGUAUAAAAGCCUAUUCUCUGCAUUGUAAUUUGAAACUGAUGAUGGUGUUGCUGUUGACCAAAUCUGACACAUAGCACAGGAGUGUCUGAAGUGAAUUGGAGACAUUAUCAUCAUUUAUGCUUUUCAGAAUUUUAACGAUUCAGUAAAGGGUGGAGACAGACUCUCUAAAUCGCAGCACAUCUAAAAAUUCCCCUUCUUCCUGGGUAGCAAGGCCCAUCUGUUUUUAAACAGCGAGGGAGCUGCUGACACUUUAUUAAGCUGUUGUUUUACUUAAAUUGCAGUUGUCCAAAGUGACGCUUCCCCUCCACGCCUGCUUUCCAAAGUGCAGUAACCAUAACUACUUCUUAUUUGAGAAAUUGUAUGUGGCUACCCUUCCAGUUGGUUAAUACAGGGAGUCAAUAUUUUUGCUUUAUUUUAAAGCAUCACAGCGUGGGGCUGUUUUUCUUGGCUUUUCACAUUUUCUGCCUCUUUUUUACCUUUCUUCCUGAUACAAGAGUAGUUAUGCUAAAAUUUGAUUUCUAGCAAAGGGAAGAAACUCAUAUUUAGAGCAAGUCUUUUUUGCUAUUUAUCCAUUUAUGUUAGUUACAAUCUGCAGCACCUUUGGAAUACUCAUUUUUGCAGGUCUCAAAAUGAUACUGAACAAGGGACUUCCAGACUCAAAGGCUCACCUUCUCAGUGAAGAGGGCUACUCCCCAGAGUUCAGUCUCAUUCUCUGUUUUCUGACACUCUGCUUUUCCUGCAGAUCACUGCACCUUGGCUGGGGCUGUGAACUUGGGCCCUCUUCUGCAAGGAAGCCCUUCCCAUCCCUGUGGAUGAGCCCUUCAUGUGCAUUCAUAGGUGCUGAGCCCCUGGAUCUGAAGGGAACAUCUGCAGGAACAGUCUACAGGAUGCAUCAGAUUCUAGAGCUGGGAUUUCAUUUCACGCUCUUGGUACGUACUCCUGUGUUUCUGAUUUACGAAUCUCUUCAGCUGUCUUUCCGCCAUUGUGAAUAAACAUCAAAGACAUAAGUCAAAUAAAGGUAAGUGAAGUGUCCUUGGAAGAAUCAGAGAAAAUGAACACUCUGAACCCCAUGAGGUUUGGGGUCUCCCUUUCUCUUCUCCUUUGAGCACCAUGAUUCUUCCGCAUACAUCCACUGGUUGAAGUUCACAGUCGCUGAGCUGGAGAUGGCCCCCAACCUGGGUGGUGUCAGAGAGUCUUCAGGUGUGAGGACCAAUGGGAAGGGGAGGAGGAUGUGGGCAGAGUUCCAGAAACCAGGACGUGCGAAAACUCUUGUGCGGAGCCUGAGCCUGCAGAGUCCAUCACCCCUGGUGUGGUGUCCAGGUGUCUGGAAGCCCACUGGCCUGUCUGCAGUGCAGCAGCUAGGCUAAUAUGCACUUCUGUAGGCAAAUAGGAUAUUUUGCAGGUAAUUCUGAUGAACAGUACCUAAGAGUUCUUUGGGCUUCACUAUAAUUAGGAAUAAACAAAGAAUGCCAUCAGUUCCCUUGUGUUCGCUAUUGACUUGAUUUCACUGGUUCUCCGUGUCUCCAGUGGACCAUUUUCCCUGAUCCUUGAGCUACUUAAUUUCCGUGCCUUGCUCACACACACUUCUGCUCCCUUAAACAUGCUCACGGGCUUUAACUCUGUGCCAUAGGAGCUUCUUUCUCCUGAAUCUCCACUGAGCAUGCUCCAGGGGAUUGCUGGUGUAUGGUCAGGACUCCACAUCCCACCUCUCUCUUUGGAAGGAAAGGUGGUUCAGAGAAGGGCAGAGUGGGGAAGGGGAGAAAAGGCAUUACUUCUCCACGUUUCCUCAGCCCCUCAGUACUUCUGAGAUGAUCCCAGCCAGAUCGCCCACAGCACAAGGCUUGGUAGGAGCUGAAAGGUGUUCUUCUGCCUCCUUGCCACACAUCAAGUUCCUACUCUUACUUUUGACUCAAACUCUGCUCAUUCAACCAGUUGAACAUGGACUCAGAGCCCUCCAUGUAACUAUAUUGGAGACAACGGGGCAGCAUAAAGGCUUUCUGCUAAAGCACAGAUGAUGGCAUUAUAUCUCACCCUGUUUUAACAUGAAAACACUAAAGAUGCUUCUGGACAAAAAGGUGGGAAAGGCAAAGCUGGAUUUUUUUUGUUCUUAUUUUUUGAGAUUCCUGCACUGUUUGGAGGGUGUAAAUUUAGACUCUGCACCUAAGCUAUGUCUAAAAGUACUGUUUUGACUUUUCCUUGGAGACUUGAAAAUUAUUUCUUGCCCAGAUCCCCAGGCGAGAGAAACCUCCUGCCACUCCUUGGGUGAGGAGGACGACCUCUCUUCCUGCCCUCUGUGCUCAGGUGGAGUGGUGGGCUCUCGGCUCCUGCACGUUCUGUUUGACGAUGCCUGGGUUGGGAUUCUGCAAACCACACUUCCCCUCUGUCACUAAAAGGGAGGAGGCGCCUCUCUCUUUUAGCUUUUGCUCAUCAGGUUCUCCUAGUGAGGAUGGAAGGGGAGUGACAGAGGACACUCCCACUUCCUGUCUGCUCCAUUCCUGAAGCAUCACUCCAGCCACGGUCUCACUGUGGCUGGCCAUGGUUCUAUUCCCGGCUUAUUUUCCCACCACCAAUAACACCCUAUUGUACCCAGAGACACCAGUACCAGCUGGCAGUACCCCUUCCCGAGACUGGGUCUUGGCUCUGUGGGGACCCUCCUCCAAGUUCUACUGAGCUCACUCUUGGACAGGAACACAUGGAUCUAGAUAAAUAGAUAGCUGGUUGUGGUGGGCAGCUUCAAAGAUGGCCCCUGUUAGCACAGAACAACUGAGCCCCGUGCAAACUUCACAGAUCAGCACAGUCUUUAUUCAGUGGUGGAGUCAUGCAUCUGACGGACUCAAUUUCCUGGUGGAAAAUGAGCCACUGGCUAAAGGGGGAUUCUGUGCGUAUAUAUCCUACACUGAGAGGUGACUUAAUCAUGGACAGAGCGGGUCAGUUUUGGCACUCAGGAAACAGGUUUGUAAGAAUUUAAAAUUUGUUUUUCUUGGGCAAUGUUUUUACUUGGGGAAGAAUGGAGGGUCUGGGGUCAGUGUUCAGUGCUUAACUCUUUCCCUUCAGGGUCCCACUGUACUGUUACUGGUGAAGGAUUUAUUUGGGAAAGGAUCAAUGCUUUGGCUUCCUCCCAGAGACUGCCAUUCUGGGCUGGAUGAAUGUGUCCUCCCCAGGGAUCGUGGUGUCACUGGAUGAUGUUUGCUUCCUUUCCAGGGAUUGUCCUGGCACUGAAAAAGGAUGGACUGGGAAAGGAUCCAUGUUAUCAAUGUGCUCUUCCUCAGCCCCUCUUCCCAGGCGACACCAUUGGGGGCUGGCCAUUUCCCAUACCUGACCGCCCCAGCCUUCUCUCUCUGUUAUUUGCACUCCUGGGUAGCCCCAUCCCUUGAAUGUGAGCUGACGGACAAAUUGAUAGUGGUACAAAUGGUGGGGAGCCGCCUCUGAGACCAGGUCACAGAAGCCCUGGCCUCCGUCUUUCCCUCUCCUGCCUCUUGCUUGUUCUCUCUAGAAAUCCGGCCACCAGGUGGCUAGCUGUUCCCUGGAGAGGCCCAGAGGCUGGGAGAGCAGAGGGGAGCCUCUGGCCCACACGGGCUCUGGGUCAACAGCUUGUGAGGAGCUGAAUCCUGCCAACGGGAGUGGGCUUGGAGGCAGAGCCAUGCCCUGUUGAAACCUUGAGUGGAACCUUAUAGGGAUGCUGAGGCAAAGGCCCAGCUAAGCCCACCAGGAUGAGUGACCCACAGAAACCAUGAACUAAUUAAUAUGUGCUUGUGUUUUUAGGUUGUGAAGAUUUG